GAUGAACGCUGACAGAAUGCUUAACACAUGCAAGUCAACUUGAACUUCGGUUUGGGUGGCGGACGGGUGAGUAACGCGUAAAGAACUUGCCUCACAGAUAGGGACAACAUUUGGAAACGAAUGCUAAUACCUGAUAUUAUGAUUUUAGGGCAUCCUAGAAUUAUGAAAGCUAUAUGCGCUGUGAGAGAGCUUUGCGUCCCAUUAGCUAGUUGGAGAGGUAACGGCUCACCAAGGCGAUGAUGGGUAGCCGGCCUGAGAGGGUGAUCGGCCACAAGGGGACUGAGACACGGCCCCUACUCCUACGGGAGGCAGCAGUGGGGAAUAUUGGACAAUGGACCAAGAGUCUGAUCCAGCAAUUCUGUGUGCACGAUGAAGUUUUUCGGAAUGUAAAGUGCUUUCAGUUGGGAAGAAAAAAAUGACGGUACCAACAGAAGAAGUGACGGCUAAAUACGUGCCAGCAGCCGCGGUAAUACGUAUGUCACAAGCGUUAUCCGGAUUUAUUGGGCGUAAAGCGCGUCUAGGUGGUUAUGUAAGUCUGAUGUGAAAAUGCAGGGCUCAACUCUGUAUUGCGUUGGAAACUGUGUAACUAGAGUACUGGAGAGGUAAGCGGAACUACAAGUGUAGAGGUGAAAUUCGUAGAUAUUUGUAGGAAUGCCGAUGGGGAAGCCAGCUUACUGGACAGAUACUGACGCUGAAGCGCGAAAGCGUGGGUAGCAAACAGG
rnacentral:rRNA from 1 species